rnacentral:rRNA from 1 species
UACGGGGGGGGCAAGCGUUGUUCGGAAUUACUGGGCGUAAAGGGCUCGUAGGCGGCCAACUAAGUCGGACGUGAAAUCCCUCGGCUCAACCGGGGAACUGCGUCCGAUACUGGAUGGCUCGAGUCCGGGAGAGGGAUGCGGAAUUCCAGGUGUAGCGGUGAAAUGCGUAGAUAUCUGGAGGAACACCGGUGGCGAAGGCGGCGUUCUGGACUGCAACUGACACUGUAAACCGAAAGCCAGGGGAGCAAACGGG